rnacentral:rRNA from 1 species
AACCCUUGCCAUUAGUUGUCAGCGAGUCAUGUCGGAUACUCUAAUGGGACUGCCGGUGACGAGCCGGAGGAAGGUGGGGAUGACGUCAAGUCAGCAUGGCCUUUAUGUCCCAGGGCCACACACGUGCUACAAUGGACGGUACAGAGGGACGCAAGACCGCAAGGUGGAGCAAAUCCUCAAAACCGUUCUCAGUUCGGAUUGCAGGCUGCAAUUCGCCUGCAUGAAGCUGGAAUUGCUAGUAAUCGCAGAUCAGCUACGCUGCGGUGAAUACGUUCUCGGGCCUU